rnacentral:rRNA from 1 species
GAUCCUGGCUCAGGAUGAACGCUGGCGGCGUGCUUAACACAUGCAAGUCGAACGAAGCACCUUGAUUUGAUUCUUCGGAUGAAGAUCUUGGUGACUGAGUGGCGGACGGGUGAGUAACGCGUGGGUAACCUGCCUCAUACAGGGGGAUAACAGUUAGAAAUGACUGCUAAUACCGCAUAAGACCACAGUACCGCAUGGUACGGGGGUAAAAACUCCGGUGGUAUGAGAUGGACCCGCGU